rfam:Parcubacteria bacterium GW2011_GWC2_49_9 TY52_C0035, whole genome shotgun sequence.
GGACGAUUAGCUCAGUUGGUUAGAGCGCUUCAUUUACACUGAAGAGGUCACAGGUUCGAAUCCUGUAUCGUCCA